rnacentral:rRNA from 1 species
CCGCCCAGUGAGAGUUUGAUCCUGCUCAAGAGUGAACGCUGGCGGUAGCCCUAACACAUGCAAGUCGAACGGCAGCACAGGAGAGCUUGCUCUCUGGGUGGCGAGUGGCGGACGGGUGAGGAAUACAUCGGAAUCUACUCUGUCGUGGGGGAUAACGUAGGGAAACUUACGCUAAUACCGCAUACGACCUACGGGUGAAAGCAGGGGAUCUUCGGACCUUGCGCGAUUGAAUGAGCCGAUGUCGGAUUAGCUAGUUGGCGGGGUAAAGGCCCACCAAGGCGACGAUCCGUAGCUGGUCUGAGAGGAUGAUCAGCCACACUGGAACUGAGACACGGUCCAGACUCCUACGGGAGGCAGCAGUGGGGAAUAUUGGACAAUGGGCGCAAGCCUGAUCCAGCCAUACCGCGUGGGUGAAGAAGGCCUUCGGGUUGUAAAGCCCUUUUGUUGGGAAAGAAAUCCAGCUGGCUAAUACCCGGUUGGGAUGACGGUACCCAAAGAAUAAGCACCGGCUAACUUCGUGCCAGCAGCCGCGGUAAUACGAAGGGUGCAAGCGUUACUCGGAAUUACUGGGCGUAAAGCGUGCGUAGGUGGUCGUUUAAGUCCGUUGUGAAAGCCCUGGGCUCACCUGGGAACUGCAGUGGAUACUGGGCGACUAGAGUGUGGUAGAGGGUAGCGGAAUUCCUGGUGUACCAGUGAAAUGCGUAGAGAUCAGGAGGAACAUCCAUGGC